AUUGAACGCUGGCGGCAGGCCUAACACAUGCAAGUCGAGCGAGCGGCGGACGGGUGAGUAAUGUAUGGGGACUGCCCGAUAGAGGGGGAUAACUACUGGAAACGGUGGCUAAUACCGCAUACUAUCGGAUAACCCAUAUGGGAUUAGCUUGUAGGUGGGGUAACUGCUCACCUAGGCGACGCUCUCUAGCUGGUCUGAGAGGAUGAGCAGCCACACUGGUACUGGAACACGGCCCGGACCCCUACGGAGGCAGCAGUGGGGAAUAUUGCACAAUGGGCGAAAGCCUGAUGCAGCCAUGCCGGGUGUAUGAAGAAGGACUUAGGGUGUGAAAGUACUUUCAGCGGGGAGGCGUUACCCGCAGAAGAAGCACCGGCUAACUCCGUGCCAGCAGCCGCGGUAAUUC
rnacentral:rRNA from 1 species